rnacentral:rRNA from 1 species
CCUACGGGAGGCAGCAGUGAGGAAUAUUGGUCAAUGGGCGUAAGCCUGAACCAGCCAAGUCGCGUGAGGGAUGAAGGUUCUAUGGAUCGUAAACCUCUUUUAUAAGGGAAUAAAGUGUGGGACGUGUCCUGUUUUGUAUGUACCUUAUGAAUAAGGAUCGGCUAACUCCGUGUCAGCAGCCGCGGUAAUACGGAGGAUCCGAGCGUUAUCCGGAUUUAAUGGGUUUAAAGGGUGCGUAGGCGGCCUUUUAAGUCGGCGGUGAAAGUCUGUGGCUCAACCAUAGAAUUGCCGUUGAAACUGGGAGGCUGGAGUAUGUAUGAGGCAGGCGGAAUGCGUGGUGUAGCGGUGAAAUGCUUAGAUA